rnacentral:rRNA from 1 species
GACGAACGCUGGCGGCGUGCCUAAUACAUGCAAGUCGAACGAGAGCGACCGGUGCUUGCACUGGUCAAUCUAGUGGCGAACGGGUGAGUAACACGUGGGUAACCUGCUCAUCAGAGGGGGAUAACAUCCGGAAACGGAUGCUAAAACCGCAUAGGUCUUCGAGCCGCAUGGCUUGAAGAGGAAAAGAGGCGCAAGCUUCUGCUGAUGGAUGGACCCGCGGUGCAUUAGCUAGUUGGUGAGGUAACGGCUCACCAAGGCCGUGAUGCAUAGCCGACCUGAGAGGGUGAUCGGUCACAUUGGGACUGAGACACGGCCCAAACUCCUACGGGAGGCAGCAGUAGGGAAUCUUCCGCAAUGGACGCAAGUCUGACGGAGCAACGCCGCGUGAGUGAAGAAGGUUUUCGGAUCGUAAAACUCUGUUGUUAGAGAAGAACAAGUGCUAGAGUAACUGUUAGCGCCUUGACGGUAUCUAACCAGAAAGCCACGGCUAACUACGUG